UACUUAAUCUAAUGGUUAGAGCGUCCGCCUCGGAUGCGGGAGGUCGUGGGUUCGAUCCCCGGUCGAGUCAU